ensembl:lncRNA
GGGAUCAGUCCUGGGUGUUCAUUGGAAGGACCGCUGUUGAAGCUGAAACUCCAAUACUUUGGCUACCUCAUGCAAAGAGUUGACUCAUUGGAAAAGACCCUAAUGCUGGGAAGGAUUGGGGACAGGAGGAGAAGGGGAUGACAGAGGAUGAGAUGGCUGGGUGGCAUCACCGACUCCAUGGACAUGGGUUUGGGUAGACUCCGGGAGUUGGUGAUGGACAGGGAGGCCUGGUGUGGUGCAAUUCAUGGGGUCGCAAAGUGUCGGACAUGACUGAACGAUUGAACUGAACUAACUGAACUGAUCAAAGAAUCAAGGCAACAGUGAUUUAAACAAGACUUUUAUUUUUUCUUUGAAAUUCCUUGAAGUUGGGAGCUGGGCAACCCAAGGCUGGUCUGGUUUCUGGUUGCUUAGUGGUGUCACCAGGAUCACAGAUUCCUUCUUUUGUUCUGAUUUAUUUUUUCCCUGUAGGAUUGCUUCAUGGUCAAAAGAUGGCUGUUGGAGAUCCAGUCUUCAUGUCUCAAACAGGAAGAAGAAGAAAGGGCCAAAUGCAAAUAGAUGAAGAAACCGAGGUUCAAAGAGGGUUCAGAGUUGCCCCAGGUCAAACAGCCAGCCAGUGGCAGAGCUGGGACUUGAACUCACAUCUUUCAGACUCUGCAGUCUGAACCUGAAGCCUUGCAGGAAGGAGAUGGAGUGAGAAAAGAUGAUAUAAGUUAUGCUGGGAUGACCAACCCUACCUGCAAAGGAAUCUGGGAUAUCAAGUGUUUUAACUGGACAUACUGUUGUCUCAAACAUAACUGGAGUCCUGUGAGGAAGCAAGAAGGACAGACCCCAGCAUAUCUGCAACACAAUCUUGGGAGUUGUUGAGAGGACUCCCUGAGAAAUGUCAAGUUCUUGGCCCAAUGCCUGACAUGUAACUAUCAUUAGCAGCUGAAACUCUUUCCAAUGUCUUCUCUGAGGAGGAUCCCCCAGUAAUGUGGCCAGUGGAGACUCAGGCUCCUCACUGACUUGACUCCCCCUAACUUCUGCUCAUCUGAAUCUGACUCAUGCCUCAUGACUCAGGCAAUCUCAGCUCCUAGACAAAGUCUUUCCUCACUUCUCUGGUCCUCAAAGGCAUCACCUGCUCUUUUGAAAACCUGUAACACAAAAUAACUACUACAUUACUCAAAUGUAAUUUAACAUAUGUUUCCUGGUAUGACUAAUUAAUACCUCUGUUUAUUUUUUUCUCCUAACAAGAUUAUAAAUUUACUGAGGACAGAAAUAAUGUUUUAUUCCUGCAUCCCUGCCUCAAAGCUUUGUUACUUGUUCUUACAUAGAGUAGAUGCUCAUGUUGAAUAGAUUGUAGGGUUUGGGAGGCAGCCAGGUUUUGUUUAAGUUGCUAGGAGACCUGGGGAUGUGAUACUUCAGAGAUUUGUCCCCAUGUGUGCAGUAGUGAAUCAUGUUCUUUGGGUCAUCUGCUAUUUUGUAUACAUUGGUUUUCCGAGCAGAGAUAGCCAAGAUAUGGUCUAGUAAACAUGGAUUGUGGUCUCUCUCUGAAAAAAGCAGGGUAAAAAGUGAGGAUAGAAUGCCUACAUAGAAUCAAGUAUUCAUUCAUUCAACUGAGUGCCUGCUAGGCACCAUGCGAAGUUUGAACCUCUUGAUCUUGUGUCUCGUCCUACAACUUCUUCCAGUCUUGAGGCAGGAUGAGCUCCUUUGCUCAGAAGUACUCACUUCCUUCAGGUUUUGACUCAAGGGGAAUUCCUUGAUCCCAUCAAUUUCAAAACCAUUUUCUGUUAAUAAUCUCGACUCAGCUACUUGCUUUCAAGGGGGGCCCUGACAAAUAAUUAAGAAAGAGAACAUGAAGUAGGACUACUGUGAGUGGGAAAGCCCCAUACACACUUGCCCCUUUUUACCAGCUCACAUCCUGGUCUCUUCUGGGUCCCUGUGUGAGCUAUCAGUAACCCCCUCUCUCCUGGUCCCAUGUGAGGGAAAGGAUUUUUCUUCAAGCAGAUUAUAUUUCAUCCCUUAAAACAAAUUCAGCAAUUGAUUUCUGAGCCCUUGUUAUGUAUAAAGUACUAUGCUGGCACAGAUGACAAGAACACAAGAUAUUAAAUCAGUUAAGGAACUGAUUAAAUGUUUGAUUAGAGUGUGCAAGCUAAUGGGGGUGUCUUCAUUUUUGUAAGACUGAUACAACACUUUCUCUGUGCUGAGCCCCAUGCUUAAUGCCAUACAUACUUUUUCUCCUUGGAUCCUCUGAGGAUUCACAACAGCACUGUGAGACAGGUGGAAGAUAAAAUAAUGAUCUUUUAUCUCCCCCUUUCCCCAACCACUCACCCACCUUCUGCUUAAAGUUGAAUCCAUGAGGGAGGGGUAAGGGUUAGAUAUCUAAAAAGGAUCCAAAAUUCUGGAAAGAAACCACUUGUUGGCUGGGUGCCUGAUACCAACAUGGGGUGACACCAGUAGAGGAGAAAUGGCAGCAUUUUUUGAGUAGCAGAGGCUUGUGAUAUCUCCCUUGCAUCUUGCCUCUGAGUCUCUUUUGAGUACAGAGUGGGUGGAUGCGAUCUGAAAAUGUCCCUUAAUAGAGGAGAGGAAGGUAGUUAAAAAGUCAGAGUCAGGUGCCAGCGAUGGGGGUCACUGUGAUGUGAUUUAAGGUGAUGUCAUAGCAGAGCCUUUACUGUGGAGUGGAUGAGCCACGGUUGGGGCCUCAGGAUCAGCAGAGCCAGGAAGAUGCUGAGUCACAGGGAAGAAAACCUGCAUGCUCUGUGCUACUGUUCAAUCAGCUGUGGGCACUUUAGAAGGAGGAAUGACAAGGGAAAAGCUACCAUCCAAGACCAGCAGGAUGACAUAUCUUGGCUGAGGUCAGCUGUGAUGUUGAGUGGUGCCUGCACCUACCAGGAUGACAGGCUUUAUCUGGAACAGAUGACCUUCCCAUGAGGCCAGGGGGUGGUUUGGGAAAAACCUUUCCAGGAAUUUAGCUUCCCCCUCAAAGGAGACGGAAAAGGGAGAGUUUUUGAUUUGAUGUAAUAAAUUACCCAUAGAGAUGGGCUUUACCAGAGAAGCGAUGGCAUUGUAAUGUGGUCAGACUGAG